UACGGAAGGGGCAAGCGUUGUUCGGAAUCAUUGGGCGUAAAGGGCGUGUAGGUGGUUCUGUAUGUCUACCGUGAAAGCGUACGGCUCAACCGUAUUUAGUCGGUAGAAACUGCAGGACUUGAGGCUGGGAGGGGCUGGUGGAAUUCCCCGUGUAGCGGUGAAAUGCGUAGAGAUGGGGGAGAACACUCGUGGCGAAGGCAGCUCGCUGGAACGGUACUGACGCUGAGGCGCGAAAGCGUGGGGAGCGAACAGG
rnacentral:rRNA from 1 species